UACGUAGGGCGCAAGCGUUUGUCCGGAAUUAUUGGGCGUAAAGAGCUCGUAGGCGGUCUGUCGCGUCGGAUGUGAAAAGCCCGGGGCUUAACCCCCGGGUCUGCAUUCGAUACGGGCAGACUAGAGUGUGGUAGGGGAGAUCGAAUUCCUGGUGUAGCGGUGAAAUGCGCAGAUAUCAGGAGGAACACCGGUGGCGAAGGCGGAUCUCUGGGCCAUUACUGACGCUGAGGAGCGAAAGCGUGGGGGAGCAAACAGG
rnacentral:rRNA from 1 species